rnacentral:rRNA from 1 species
UACGUAGGGUGCAAGCGUUGUCCGGAAUUAUUGGGCGUAAAGAGCUCGUAGGCGGUUUGUCGCGUCGAAUGUGAAAACCCGGGGCUCAACCCCCGGGCCUGCAUUCGAUACGGGCAGACUAGAGUUCGGUAGGGGGAGUCUGGAAUUCCUGGUGUAGCGGUGAAAAUGCGCAGAUAUCAGGAGGAACACCGGUGGCGAAGGCGGGACUCUGGGCCGAUACUGACGCUGAGGAGCGAAAGCGUGGGGAGCAAACAGG